GUGAGGAAUAUUGGUCAAUGGGCGAGAGCCUGAACCAGCCAUGCCGCGUGCAGGAAGAAUGCCCUAUGGGUUGUAAACUGCUUUUAUUUGGGAAUAAACCUUUCUACGUGUAGAAAGCUGAAGGUACUAAAUGAAUAAGCACCGGCUAACUCCGUGCCAGCAGCCGCGGUAAUACGGAGGGUGCAAGCGUUAUCCGGAAUCAUUGGGUUUAAAGGGUCCGCAGGCGGAUUAAUAAGUCAGUGGUGAAAUCUCAUAGCUUAACUAUGAAACUGCCAUUGAUACUGUUAGUCUUGAAUAUGGUCGAGGUGGGCGGAAUAUGACAUGUAGCGGUGAAAUGCUUAGAUAUGUUAUAGAACACCGAUAGCGAAGGCAGCUCACAAGGCCAUUAUUGACGCUCAUGGACGAAAGCGUGGGGAGCAAACAGGAUUAGAUACCCGGGUAGUCC
rnacentral:rRNA from 1 species